CAGUUGGUCACUUUGGGAGUGAAUUUAAAUUAUACACACCUUAAAGCUAUGUGUGAGCAGAACCUGGCUGACCGCUCAAGUGCACAGUGAUCUUGUUCUUCUUCACCAUUCACGUAAGAGGUUGGGAAGGUUCCCAGUGAUGGGAACUGACCCCCAUGGAAGGGCAGCAGCUGGUGGAUAAGAGGCCCCCAGGCAUCCCUCUGUCCUGCCUACUGAAGACCAAAGUCCCAUGAGAUAGAGGUCUGACACUUAGGAAAUUUUAAUACAGAAAAAGUGUUUGAAGUUCCCUGUAAAAUUGGUAUUCUAAAACUAGUGUUCUGUAAUACAAGAGACAAAUAAAACUUGGGAAUGGCUCUUUAAACAGAGAUACACAUUCACCACAGGCCUUCCCAGGAUCUUCACAUGCCACUGUACCUGGUAGCAAUCCAAGGAAGGUGACAGGGGCCUUG
rnacentral:lncRNA from 1 species